CCGGUCACUUGAGGUACAGAGUGACUUGUGUUGAAGUCCUGCGGUGGCGAUUAUCGUAAUAUUUCUCAUCCAUCCGUGCGUCAGGAGGGCUGCGGGUCGUGUGGAGCUGAGAUGGUGGCAAGCCCUCAGAGCAGUACAGGGCCUCGCAUCACUGGGAUCUUGGAUGCUGCUACUGCUUCUACUGCUGCUGCCGCCACCACAGACUGCCGCCCUGUCCUCAGCGGAGAGCCAAGGUGAGUCUCCGCUCACUGCAGCAGAGGAGGUGUCGUCCGUGUAAGUCUUGUGGAGGGAAGAGCAUGGUUACAAUAGCAGCUGUGUCCAGGACGACUCUCCUCUCCAGCCGACGAUUUCCUUCUCUUCCUGUCACCGUAACAGAAGCGCCUCUGGAGAACCCGAGUCCGACAGGUGUUCCAGGCCAACGUUGACUCGCCCCAGACAAGGCACAACUACGUGGAACCGCCCGUGCUGGGUCGGUUUGUGAGGUUGCACGUACUGGAAUGGCACUCACAACCCUCCAUGCGCUUUGAGCUGCUCGGCUGUCAGGUGACGGCCAGUAAAGCGUGUUGAGGGUAACUCAUCGUACUGUCCCGAUACUCCCCUGCCAUCAGCGUCCCUCCGAGCACACCAUCUCACCAGAGUGGGAUUCCAUCACCGAAAGCCUUGAUUUAUUGAGACUAACAGCUGUGAUCUGCAUAGUUUUCCAAUGAAUCUGUGAACGCUGGUAGGUGGAGAGCGCGCACGCAUUCAUGUAGUAUAUCUCUGGCGGCUUUGAGAUGAAAUAGUACCUCUUCACGUGGAUUUUUAAGGUUCUCUCUUGGAUAUAAAUCUUACCGCAGACAGACGUGUAUGAAUGGCAGUGUGCCCUCCCUUCCUGCAUAUCUCACCUUUCCUUCUCCCUUCCCGCCCGGUUCACUUCAAAAGGAAUUGAUUCACCUUCACGAUUACAGUACCUAGUUAACAGCACCAGUCAUGAUCUUCACUUACAUCGGUGUCAUCAUCACGCCAUUACAUUACUCAUGCCAGGCUGUUCCGCGGAAAUAAAGGAGCCGGAGUAAGGUAAGCUGUUCUGCUAACUGAUGCCAGCUAUCCUUAGCAACGGUCAGCGCCGCUCACUGGGCGUCGUUCCAGACAUAAUUAUCAUUUAUAUCGCUGAGGCGUUGCGGCGGUAAACCAGCGGAGUUUAUGGCCCAGUAGAUUAGUACGCCACGAGAGGAACAUGCAUUAUGAGGCUGUGGGUUGUAUUUUACGU